rnacentral:misc_RNA from 1 species
UACUCCAUGUAUAAUAUUCAAGAACGUAUGAAUCAAAAAUCACACACUCAAAUCCUUCAGAAACAUCUCAUCAUUAUUAUUCUUGAACAGACAUAGGAUUUAUAAAAGUUGAAAGACAAUAUCACUUAUUAUUAUACAUACAUAAUAGCCUUAGCCUUAACCAGUGUUCUGCAUUCCAGCAGCAAUACCUUUCAUGGUCAAG